AACCUGGUUGAUCCUGCCAGUAGUCAUAUGCUUGUCUCAAAGAUUAAGCCAUGCAUGUCUAAGUAAAAAACUAAAUAAUGGUGAAACUGCAAAUGGCUCAUUACAACGGUUAUGAUGUACCCGGGAGUUCCGAUGGAUAUUUCCAGUAACACUAGAACUAAUACAUGCUCCUGCGUUUAUUAGUUUCGCACAGUCCGUCGCUGAGCCAUGGUAAACAGUUGAUCGACUCGACGUCCCGGAACAGUUUCCGCCCCAUCAGCUUCGAUGGU
rnacentral:rRNA from 1 species